UGGGACAGGUGAGAAGGGAGGAGCCAGGACAGGUGGGACAGGUGAAGGUGGGACAGGUGAGGAAGAGGAGCCAGGAGAGUUAGGACAGGUGAGAAGGGUUAAACCAGGACAGGUGAGGACAGGUGAGGACAGGUGAGCAGGGCGAGGCAGGUGAGGACAGGUGAGGACAGGU